UCCACUCCAAGGUACGUUGAAGCAUUAGCAAGGAGCUUCUUCAAGGCUGGAGAUGCGGCCACUUUUAGGCUAACACUAAAGGCAGCGCUAGCUAAUGCCACUUCCAUUGAGUUGUGGGGUUUUAUUUUUUGGUCUGAAUAAACUGAAGAUAGAACUGGAAUUGUUUCUUGACUCGGUGAUGGAUUAAAAAUCUGUUGAAGCAGUAAAUCACAAGAUAAAUUAGCCAGCUGCAACGGUGAUAUGAAAACAGAAACCUACUGGUAGAUCACUAGACAAUGGCAAAUACUAAGAAAACUAUUUUGAGAGUGCGGAAUGACCUGAAUAUCGAUAGAUGAGCAACUGAAAGUGCUUCUGGAUCAGAGGUAGAAAUAACCAGUGAAUAUAACAAUGGAUGAACACCUGUUGGACUGAGAAAUCACGAAAUAGAUUAGCCGGUUGCAACAACGAAGAUAAUAAACAGAACCCUACAGCCAGAUUUGUAGAGGAUAACAGAUCAGAACAUAGCGGUGAGCUUACACAGAAGCAGAGUUGUAGGGGCCGGCGCAGAGACUAGGCAAAGUUGCAGGAGACGCAGAUAGUAGGAGCUAACAAUGUUGUGUUGCAAGAGAAUGAGAGACAGACAUCCCAAAACAGCAGGUCAACAAGGCUAUAGCAGAUCUGAUCCACCCACUUGCCCUUUUUUAAAGUUUAG
rnacentral:lncRNA from 1 species